rnacentral:rRNA from 1 species
AUUGAACGCUGGCGGCAUGCUUUACACAUGCAAGUCGAACGGCAGCACGGACCUCGGUCUGGUGGCGAGUGGCGAACGGGUGAGUAAUACAUCGGAACGUGCCCAGUUGUGGGGGAUAACUACUCGAAAGAGUAGCUAAUACCGCAUGAGAACUGAGGUUGAAAGCAGGGGAUCGUAAGACCUUGCGCAACUGGAGCGGCCGAUGGCAGAUUAGGUAGUUGGUGGGAUAAAAGCUUACCAAGCCGACGAUCUGUAGCUGGUCUGAGAGGACGACCAGCCACACUGGGACUGAGACACGGCCCAGACUCCUACGGGAGGCAGCAGUGGGGAAUAUUGGACAAUGGGCGAAAGCCUGAUCCAGCCAUGCCGCGUGUGUGAAGAAGGCCUUCGGGUUGUAAAGCACUUUAAGCGAGGAGGAAUGGCUCUUGGUUAAUAACCUUGAGCAGUGACGUUACUCGCAGAAUAAGCACCGGCUAACUCUGUGCCAGCCGCCGCAGUAACAC